rnacentral:tRNA from 1 species
GUCAUCGUAGCUUAACUUACAAAAGCAUAACACUGAAGAUGUUAACAUGGACUAAAAGUCCCGAAUGACAACA